AGCAGAACACCUCUGGAGCACUGACUGACCAAAUCUCAACUAUUCACUACUCAAAACAAUGAAGGAAUAAACAUUUAUGUAAAGUGCACGUGGCAGUACGGUUGAUAGUUCAUUGUGAUCAACAGCCUUACGUUGCUCUGAAAAUAUAUAUUACUGUAAAACCUUUGAAGAAGAGGAGCAUUAUAAGGAAAAACAAGAUUGUGCAUAUUUUUAGACAUACCUCUACUAGGAGAACAGAGAUAGGGAUUGUGCUUGUGUUACCUGAUACUGGUUGACCCUCAUCUUGAUAUAAAAGCUCCUUCAGCUUCUGAAUCAGUGGCAGGGCUGCACCUCAGGCAGCUGACAGCACCUGUAUUGACACAGGAGCAUAAUGAAACUGGAUCCUCGAGGGAUUACCACAGCAGGGAGCCAAACCCCUGUGUGUUCAGAUGUGAGGACGUGGUCUCCCCCAAAGCUGCUGUUGCUCAGCCCGUGAUGCUCUGAAGGAAAGAAGUGUGCAGAGACCUCUGGGACCGCAAGGACUGGAAGUCAGGAAUUCAGGAAUGCCUGCUCACAGAGGGGAUCCCUGUGGAGCUGUGAGACCACCCUGCAGUGCUGCCUUCUGGGAGCUCUGUCAAGCAAAGGCUUUCUGUGGGCAAUACCAUUUCUUCUGAAACUGGAGAAAAUUCCCAGCAGCUGGAGCUGGAAGAGCAAGGUGACCGUUUCAUCUAUUUCAUGUAACAAAGUCCCUGAAACAGAAGAGGGAUUAUUAACCAGUGAAGAGCCCAAAUUUCCAAGAGAAAUCCAGUCCUUUAGCUGCAGGAAUGGUGGUGAGGCAGCCUGACCUUUUCCUGCUGUGCAGCUGAC
rnacentral:lncRNA from 1 species